CGAGUCCCUGGGUUGCUUCCUGGGGUCUGUGGUGCUGGGUGUGCUAUCUGCGUGUGAUUCUCUAGCGAGAGAUUGUGGGCGAGUGACCGAGUGGGCAAGGGGCCGUCACUGUGUGUGCGUGAUUUUGACAGUGUGUGGUGGUAGCUUCUGACUCCGCGUGGGUCGUUGAAUGUAUGACUGGGACCGUUUAGCGGUGGAUACACAACUGUGUGCGGCUGUGGAAGAUUGCCUCAUCCGUUACGUUCCCAUUUCCGUGGAACAACAGUUUUACCAGAAGGUUUCGAAGGAACCUUAAAGUUUGGAAGCGUAAGAGUUUAUCUGGCGGCUUUGGUGUCAUCAAAUGUGAGAAGCCCUGGACUUUACACAUCCCGAGCCAGUGUGAUCCAGUAUGAUUGGGAGUCCGAGUGCCAGAUGCCGGUCAGGACCUGUUAUGCUGGGUCUCAGAAUGCGGAAACUCUCCCUGUCCGAGGUGGAACAGUUUGUCCUUGAGUGAGGACUGGAGUCCUGAGUGACUCUUUUGAUUUGAUCCUGUUUCCCUCAAACCUGAGAUGGGAGCCUCACUGUAUUGCCCAGGCUGGUCUUGAACUCCGGAGCUCAAGUGAUCGUCUUGCUUCAGCCUUGCAAAAUGAUGGUGAAGCUGCAUCAUUGUCUGGGGUAAAUACCUGAGGUUCGUUGUCUCACGCCAAGGGAAUCAAGGACGUGGACACACAAGAAAUGGAGUCCCUGUCUGACCGGGCCAUGUUGUAUGUUCCUUGCUGUACACGUGGUUGACAAAGAAAAGGGAAGAUGGAGCUGCGAUGUUGGACAUGCCUGGCCCCCAGGUAGCUUUUUCCUAUUGGCACAGCUGCUGGCAUUCACCCGUGCAAACUUCCAGCUUGCUUAUCUAUGUCUGCAGCUUGAUUUUUCAGGCUGCUGUUUGUUAGAAAAGAAAUGACUUGGGGGCUGCUUUUCAUUAAAAGGAAAACCUUACCGGGGAUUUCCUUACCCUCACUAUCUGCCUAAAUAAUUUCUUUUUAACUCCUAUGUCACUUGGGAUUACAGGCAUGAGCCGCUGUGCCUGCUAGAGGGUUUUUUAUCUUUAUUCCUCAAGAUUUUGCAUUUAGAUAAUUAUGUUAAACUUGGGUGUGCUAGGUAGACAUACGUCUGCUGAUUACCUGUUUAGGAAGAAUGUGGAUUCGUACGUAGGGAAAAGGAGUCAGGCUGGUGGGACCAGGGGAAAGCAAAGAGAUAAAGCAAAUAAGCUAUAGAUCUGCAUUUUCUUCAUGGUCCAGGAUAUAUAAACAAAAAAAGGAAGCAGAUAAGCUAUAGGCUUGCUUUUCUUUAUGACCCAGGACAUACAGCCCUGCCGAGCAAAUAAUGAACGUAACUCACAAACUUCCUGCUUAUCAUCAAACGCACGCAUCCACUUAUCAUCAAACACCUCGGGUGACAGAAGAAUGCAGGUCAGCUCCCUGCUGCCUUGGCAUUAUCAAUCAGCCCAGGAACCAUCCUAUAAAAUCUCCAGCAAGCCUUUGUUUCCUUGCAGUCAGCUCCUCUUCCACUGAUUCUGCCUGUUGCUCCCUGAUAACAUACUUUGAUACUGUCUUUAAUAAAUCUGCCUUUCUUC
rnacentral:lncRNA from 1 species